UGUCCUUGUUAUCAAAGAAGAAACAGUGUCUUUACGGUCUAUGUAAAUCUUGAAGAUCUAGCAUCAUUGAUAGCAGGGCAUAGAACUACCAAACGAAGAUUUGAAGCUUCUACAUAUCAUCAAAUGAACUCAGGGGAUUUCUUUCAGCACAUCAGGAGAUUGAGAGCCCGCCUCAUCUAUCAAAGAAAUUUGCUUGCAAACAUGGAAGGAAUGCAAUUCCUUAAACAACGUCUGCUUGAUGAUUCUGAGCAAAUAAUAAACCAUCUAAAUACUGUCGAAGCAAUGUCUAUCGCCGAUAGCUCAAACAGGCUUCACAGUUUGUCGACCGAAUUUUACCAAAGAUAUGAGAAUCUUAUGCAGAGCAUAGAGUUCACACUUGGCCUUGCAGCUCAAAUCACGCUUGUGAGAGAAGGACGGAUGAGCGAGGUCCGGAUAACGGAAGCUGAUGUGAUAGCUCAUGCAUCCUGUAGAGCCUGUGGUGAAAGGUUUAGCGAGGGAGUGGUGGUGGGAGUUUUGAGAUGCUCCCAUAGAUUCCAUCGAAGAUGUAUUGUUGGUAGAUUUGCUAUGCAGACAAGGUGUCCAGCUUGCGGGAUUCAGAUUUAGUUUGGAUGCAUGUUUUGCAUAAUAAUUUCCUUCUUUGUUGUCUUUGUUGUACUUUGGCAAUAUAGAUCUUGGGAGGUUAUGGCUUUCUUCUUUUACUUUAUGUACUGUUUUUGGGGGAACUGAAUGGCGUUACUCGAGGUUUCAUGCUUAAUUAUAUGGAAUAUUAACGUAUGAUGAUAUUUUA